GAUGAACGCUAGCGGCAGGCCUAAUACAUGCAAGUCGAACGAGAUUAGGAGGCUUGCUUCUUAUGAAAGUGGCGCACGGGUGCGUAACGCGUAUGCAACCUACCUUAAUCAGGGGGAUAGCCCGAAGAAAUUCGGAUUAAGACCGCAUAAAAACACAGGAUAGCAUUAUCCAAUGUUCAAAUAUUUAUAGGAUUAAGAUGGGCAUGCGUGUCAUUAGCUAGUUGGCGGGGUAACGGCCCACCAAGGCGACGAUGACUAGGGGAUCUGAGAGGAUGACCCCCCACACUGGUACUGAGACACGGACCAGACUCCUACGGGAGGCAGCAGUAAGGAAUAUUGGUCAAUGGAGGGAACUCUGAACCAGCCAUGCCGCGUGCAGGAAGACAGCCCUCUGGGUCGUAAACUGCUUUUAUUCGGGAAUAAACCUUUCUACGUGUAGGAAGCUGAAUGUACCGAAGGAAUAAGGAUCGGCUAACUCCGUG
rnacentral:rRNA from 1 species